rnacentral:lncRNA from 1 species
CCAAACAGAUCUCUGCUGGCAUCUAGAAGGUUCGUGUGGAGAAGCAAGGAGCUGGAAUCACAGUAUGGGAAAAAUUAUCCUUUCCUUCUUUGUCCCAGGGGACAGUCUGGCCCGUGGUGUGUUUCCAUUUGGCCAGCUGCCUUUACAGCAUAGAAGAUGAAGAAGUGCAGAUUGAUGGAAGAGCUGAACUUCUUUUGGGAUGCAGCAGUCCAUGAGCCCUGGCAUUUUGUAUACUCAGAGCAAGGUCAAGCUCAGCAGUUUCCACCUUGGUGUUGUUACAUCACUGCAGCAGGGAUAAAAAAAAUGGAUAUCAUGUGGUUACCACAGCAGCUCUCUGGUUUUGCAGUGCUGCCACCCUUUCAUCACAUUUCACCUCUGCCACCUUCUUGUAACCAUCUCUUGGUCUCAAGAAGGUGCUGCACAUCAUCAUCUCUCCACACCAGACCACUUGACUGCAGGUUCCUACUGAGGAGGAAAACUGGAAGUUCAACAAGAACAAGUGAAAGAAGUACUGAAAAAAACAUCCUUGGCAGCCUGGAUGAAAGCUGGACUCCCUGAUCUUCCUGGUGGCAUUCCUGCAAAGGCAAGCAGGCGUUGUGGAUGUAAACCCAGCAAGGACAGAGCAGGUAAGAAUUGAGAGCAUCUUAAAAUAUGAGGUAUCUGAUUUUAAUUUCCUGGGUGCAGCGGGCUCGAGGACACUUU